rnacentral:rRNA from 14 species
UGACUGGGGUGAAGUCGUAACAAGGUAACCGUAGGGGAACCUGCGGUUGGAUCACCUCCUUACCUUAAAGAAGC